rnacentral:tRNA from 1 species
GGAGAGAUGGAUCAGUGGUUAAGAGCACCCGACUGCUCUUCUGAAGGUCCUGAGUUCAAAUCCCAGCAACCACA